GGAUUGUGGCUUAGUGGUAGAGACCUUGCCUAGCAUGUACAAGGCACUGGGUUCAAUCCUCAGCACCA
rnacentral:tRNA from 1 species